UAUAUGGAGAGUUUGAUCCUGGCUCAGGACGAACGCUGGCGGCGUGCCUAAUACAUGCAAGUCGAGCGGACGGAUGGGAGCUUGCUCCCAGACCGUCAGCGGCGGACGGGUGAGUAACACGUGGGCAACCUGCCUGUAAGACUGGGAUAACUCCGGGAAACCGGGGCUAAUACCGGAUAACUCUUUUCCUCACAUGAGGAAAAGCUGAAAGAUGGCAUCUCGCUAUCACUUACAGAUGGGCCCGCGGCGCAUUAGCUAGUUGGUGAGGUAACGGCUCACCAAGGCCACGAUGCGUAGCCGACCUGAGAGGGUGAUCGGCCACACUGGG
rnacentral:rRNA from 1 species